GGGAGUAUGUCCAUAUACUAAUGAGAUUUUAUUAUAGAGUAUAUGAACUAUUUAUAGGAGAAAAAAUAGUAUGCUAAAUGUGGACAUAUUUUUUUUACACGAGUAGUUCGCAAAUAUUGAUAUGAGUAUACGUCCCGAUCGGAAGAGACGGAUGGGGUGAAGCAGAUCUGAGAUCUGCUAGCUAUAUAUGUACGUAUUUAUAUUCAAUAUUCAAAAUACGAACGGGUCCGUUUUUUUUUUCUUUAACCCGCUAAUGAGAACCCCAGCGCCACGUUAGGAGGCUCAGUCGUAUAAAUCUAAAUCUAAAUCUAUAUAUAUAUAUAUAUAUAUAUAUAUAUAUAUGCUGAAAUUUUGAAACCUGCUCAGCAACAAUUACUAAUUCAUGGUGCAAAAGUUAUCAACAUGUGCGCAUAUAUAGCUCACUCGAGGGGCC
rnacentral:lncRNA from 1 species